AUGACACAGAUUCACAUCAAGAUAAAGAUGAUGUGCAAAGAAAACCCAUGCCCCCAAAGAGAUUACAGCCACUCCUCCAGACAGAUCCAGCAGGAAUAACCACAAAAGUCACCUUGGGGCCACUUAAUAGAACAGGUGGCUGCCGCCUGGUGAUGAUGGCCGUAUGAGCCCCACCAUGGCCCACUGGAAGCGUCAGAGCACAGUGAGCAGCCUGCUAGACCACAGGGUGAGACCGGGCCUGGAGCCCAAGAGCAAGGACGUGGAGGAACUAGCCCUGGAAGAGUACAUGCCCACUGGACUGGAGCUAGCGGCCCUGUGGCCUGAGAGGCCGUUGCCUGCCCAGAAGGGCGGCCCUGAUGGGUACUUUGGCUCCAACUAGAGUAAACAACACCUCGGAGGAGGAGGACUAUGACGAGGGCUGCCUGAAGAGGAGGGCAUCACCUAUUACAUCCGCUACUGCCCCAAGGACAACAGCUACCUGCAGGGGAUGGACUGCAACAGGCAGGGCUACUUGGCCCACCUAGAGAUGCCAUCUGGAGAUGGAUGAGUGCCAGGAGGUGGUGGAGGAGUGGACAGAGCCAGGGCCAGCGACUCCCCAGAGGUCUGCCCACUUGCCAAGUCUGGCCGUGGCCCCAGCAGACACAAGGGCAGGCCCAAGUUGCUGAACCUCCCUCGAGGCCAAGCAUCCUGCCGAUGCCCAGAGGAGCUUCAAGACCAGGACCCAGGAAGAGAGGCCUAAGUGGCCCCAAGAGGAGGACACUGGGCUGCACUCUGAGAAGUUCCUGGAUCUCCCCUGGACCUGACCAUCAUGUGGCCAGAGAAAUUGGGCACACGGAUCAGGUGAAAAGCCAAUGGGCAGCAAGUGAAGUUGCUGCUGUGAUCUCCUUCCAGUCGACCGUGCCUCCUCAGCAGAGACCAGACCUGCCCCUCGUCUCCCAGCCCUGCGCCUGGUGUGUGUUUUGUCAACACUUCAGUGGAACAAGAAAGGACCAAGCCUGCAAGAACCAAGACUCAUCCCAACCUCGGGCACUGCUCCCUGCUGAAACGCCUAGGAGGCUGCACUCUCAAAAAAGAGACUUCAGCUAG
rnacentral:lncRNA from 1 species